rnacentral:lncRNA from 1 species
AAGAGGUUUGGAUUUCCAAGACAACCAUAAAGCAUUAAUUCUACUAUCCUCCCUAGAUGAAAGUUGGGAUUCGUUGGUGACCAGUCUUGAAGUUGUGCCAAGUAGAGAAUUUAGCUUUGAUUUUGUCAUUUCAAAGUUACUGGAUGCUCAACAGAAAAGGGAUUAUAAAGAAGAACAGCCGCUUACAACCAAGAAGGGGGAUGUUUCUGCAACUGCAUCUACAUCAAAGACUGCUCCCAAGGUAAAGUGUUACAAAUGUCAAAAGUUUGGACAUAUUGCAAAACACUGUAGGAGUACAUCUGUCUCCAAAAGAAGUGCUGGCCAAGCGCAGCAAACGAACAGAGUUAAUUGGAAAAGAGAUAACACUGAACAGGCUUUCCUGAUAACAACAGAAACUGAGACUAACAAGUUCAUAAUUGACUCUGGUUCCGCUAGACAUAUUGUAAACAGAAAGGAACUUUUACAAGACUUAAAUACUUUUGGUGAAGCAGUAAAAGUAAGAAUGGCUGAUGGAAAUAUCAUACAAGUAACACAAGGAGGUAAACUUUAUCUUGAAAGUCUCAAAACAACUUUGCAAAAUGUUUUAUAUGUACCUGAAAUGAAAUAUUGUUUACUUAGCAUUUCCAAGCUAGUAAAAGAAAAUUUUGAUGUCAGAUUCAGAGAGGAUGAAUGCCUGAUAAUGAAAAAUGAUGAGGUUUGCACUAAAGCUUAUUUGCAAGAUGACUUAUACUGUCUAGAAAUGCCUGAACAAUGUGUUUGUACUGUUAAUACUAGUUCUAAUAUUUGUUUACACAGGAAUAAUUGCUUUCACAAUUGGCAUCGUAAAUUAGGACAUAUUUCUUUUCAAACUUUGGCCAAAACAGUCAAAGCAUGUGACAUUAAGGUGCAACCUUGUAAAGCAUUUCUUGAGUGCACUGUUUGCAGACAGACUAACUUGAAAAGAUAUCCUUCCACUCGCAUCAGUGAAAGGAAAAGUUCAAGGCCUUUUGAGCUUGUACAUGCAGAUUUGCAAGGUCNAAAUGAAGUCUCCNUAGGGGGAUCUCGUUUUAUGUUAUUGCUGACAGAUGANUUUUCAAGAUAUUCAUUUGUUUAUUUCUUGAAACACAAGUCAGAAGUUUUUGAAUAUUUUAAACAAUGGGUGAGAAUGAUUGAGAACAAACACAGCACAAAUGUUGCUGCAAUACAAACUGACAGAGGAGGUGAAUUUAAGAGUCAAAAAUUCAAACGCUGGCUUCUUAGGAGAGGAAUUCAGCACAGGAUGACUAAUCCUUAUAGCCCAUUUGAAAAUGGUGUUGCUGAGAGGAGAAUCGGUUUAGUUAAAGCUAUGAGAGAAGCUAUGAUGCUUGAUGCUAACUUAUCUCCAAAGUAUUGGGCAGAAUGUUCAAAAACAGCUAUCUUUAACUUGAAUCGGUUAUGGAGCACUUCCAUUUCUGACAUUCCUUAUAGAAAGCUGUACAACAGAAAUCCCAAUUUUGAGUAUGCUCACACAUUUGGGCAACAAGCCUACGUUCUCUUACCUGAAGCUCAGAGAACAAAGCAAAGUAAANCAUCUCUUUGUNGUUUUNUGGGGUACUCAGCUGGAACAAAGAGUUUCCGUUUCAUAGACAAAAAUGGCAAAAUAAUCAUUUCCAGAAGUGCCAAUUUCCUAGAGCAUGAGAACUGGGACAGAUUACAUUCUAACAAGGAAGUUUUUCUACAGCCAAUGCAGCAAGAAAGGGCAGAAGAGGGUGAUUCUUUUCAGAGCUCAGUUCCUUCUCCCUCAAUGUCUCAGCUUAAACUGAAACAUGAUACCUCACAGAGCAAAGAGGAAGGCGUGACUAGUCAUUCAAGCCAGUCA